AUGUCACAUGACAUUGUGAACAAUGGAACACAUUUUCAUCCCAACUCGUCACAUACUGACGCUUUGUCAGAUCCCUCGGCAUCACUUUUUCCGUCGCACUAAACACAUGCUUAACGACCCCUCAGCGUCACCCUUUUCGGUCGCAGUAAACACAUGCUUAAUGUUGUGAAUCAAACAAACACUUGUUUAGGUUUAGGCAACAAAACCACUGAGUAAGGUUUAACAAAAAAACAACAGUUGUAACGAACGAGACGGCCGGGACAAAGCAUUGGCAUUUGACGCCCUGGGAAUGAGAACGGGCUAGACAACCAGGAGACAGAUCCAGCUCUUUAUACAACAUAACCAUCAUCAUUUUAUACUUUGUUGUGCUGGUUCCUUUGAAUAUCUUGUGGUUGCCAAGUUAUAGUCAUAAGUUAUAGAUUAUCUGUCCUCCCACAAAGUUCAUUUUAUUGGUUGGUCCACUUCCAAUUUCCACUUCCAUUUAUUUCCUUUCCUUCACCCAUGUCUGUCAGUUAGACAUGGUAAUGUGUAAGAUAUGCUAUGAUGGCACUUUCUGUCAUCCCAAGUUAUGGGAAAGGUUCUCAUGUUUAGGACUUCAUUCAUUUCAUUGAUUCAUUAUCCAUAAUCAUCCUAUUCAGGGUCGCGGGGCAGCUGGAGCCGAUCCCAGCUGCCAUUGGGCGAAGGCGUUUAGGACUUGCAAACAAUCAUUGUGUAUGAGUGCAAACCUUGUUAUUGGCUAUGAGCUACAGUUAUAUGAUGGUUAUUUAGCUUGAAUGAGGCAUUUUAGCUGACUUCUGGCACUGAAGGUUGUUUGAUUUAUUUCCAUAUUGAGCGCCUACUUGGAUAAAUUACAGCUUCCAAGACUAAGAGAGAGAGAUUCCCAGCAAUAUAUCAUAUCUAACAAAUCUACCA